AACACUUGUUUGUAUUUUUGUUCAAAGGGUGGACAGAUGCAUAGAAGACAAAUGCAAAAAUAAAUCCUCAUUUGCCAUCCACAACUCAUUGAUGCGUAUGUGUUUUUCUAAAUUCAUGAAGGACUAUA